UACGUAGGGUGCGAGCGUUGUCCGGAAUUACUGGGCGUAAAGAGCUCGUAGGCGGCUUGUCGCGUCGACUGUGAAAACCCGCGGCUCAACUGCGGGCUUGCAGUCGAUACGGGCAGGCUAGAGUUCGGUAGGGGAGACUGGAAUUCCUGGUGUAGCGGUGAAAUGCGCAGAUAUCAGGAGGAACACCAGUGGCGAAGGCGGUGCUCUGGGCCGGAACUGACGCUGAGGAGCGAAAGCGUGGGGAGCAAACAGG
rnacentral:rRNA from 1 species